rnacentral:rRNA from 1 species
UACGGGGGGGGGCAAGCGUUGUUCGGAAUUACUGGGCGUAAAGGGCGCGUAGGCGGCUCGCUAAGUUGGAUGUGAAAACUCUGGGCUUAACCCAGAGCCUGCAUCCAAAACUGGCAGCUUGAGUACUGGAGGGGAAAGCGGAAUUCCUGGUGUAGCGGUGAAAUGCGUAGAUAUCAGGAGGAACACCGGUGGCGAAGGCGGCUUUCUGGACAGUAACUGACGCUGGAGGCGCGAAAGGCUAGGGGAGCAAACAGG